GAAUAUUUUGAAUGAUGGGCCACACUAGAUUAGAGGACGGUUCCAUAAGCUGCAUUGUGUUAGGCUACCAACCACCAUACAGCAGCACCACUGCCAAUCCUCUUUGCUAAUUUUCUCUCGCUUAUUUUCUAAUGCACCCAAGAUAGCUAUGGUGUUAAAAUAUCACGGUCUUUUCUUCUUAGAAAAAUUGUAUCUUUAACCAUUCUUUUCCUAAC
rnacentral:lncRNA from 1 species